rnacentral:misc_RNA from 1 species
AACGCACCUUGCGCUCCUUGGUAUUCCGAGGAGCAUGCCUGUUUGAGUGUCAUUAACUUCUCAACUAUACAAGUUUUUACAACCUGUAUAGCUUGGAUCUUGGGAUCUGCGGGCUUUUUACAAAAGUCGGCUAUCCUUAAAUGCAUUAGCAGAGCUUUUGUCGCUAACCUCUGGUGUGAUAAUUAUCUACGCCAUUGAGAGGCAACAUCUUAAAGCUAAGCUUCUAAUCGUCCUUUGGGACAACAUUUGACAAUCUGACCUCAAAUCAGGUAGGACUACCCGCUGAACUUAA